CUUUAACAAAAUUUGAGUGAAGCUUUAUUUCUCUAAAAAGAAACACAAGAUAGGCAAGAUGCAAAGAAUGGUCAGAGGGAAGAGGGAAGUUAAAAUGAAGGUGAUUGCCGCUCUGACAUCGUAACUACACUUGUGAAGGCAAUUUACUCUAUGUCUCUACGGAUUUGGCUGCCAUAAGUGCCUCAGGUUCCAGCUAGCCCAAUGAGGGAAGAAAAAAACUUAAAAUGGAGUAAGAGGAAGGAAAAGGACAAUAAUAAAAAACUCAAGCAGAACAGAGCCCUCAGAAAUAAUGCCGCAUAUCUACAACCAUCUGAUC
rnacentral:lncRNA from 1 species